rnacentral:rRNA from 1 species
AUGAGCAAGCCAUGGAAGAAACGCAAGGAGCUGGAUGAACAUCGCUACUGGAACCACACAGGCGAGCAAGAUAAGCAUUUCUUCAAGGUUAUGAUUGGCGACUUCCAUGAGAGAAUGGUCAUACCAGAUAGGUUUGUCCAACAUUUCAGGGGGCAAACAGGACGAACUAUUAAGCUAGCAUCACGCCAUGGUUACACUUUUGAUGUUCAGAUUACCAAGAAUUUGGAGAAACUAGUCCUUGAUUCGGGAUGGAAGGCGUUUGCUCGUGCCCAUAACUUGAGAACGGGGGACUUUCUUGUGUUCAAGUAUGAUGGCCACUCUCAACUGAAGGUUUUGAUCUUUGGGCCGAGCGGUUGCGAGAAAAUUCAAGCGUGCAAUCUCAAGAAAAAUGCUGCUCCUGGUAAAGACUGGUGGGGAAACACUGCUGGCAUUGUAAACACUUGUCAUGAUCUUCCCAUGAAAUUUCCACAAAGUGGAAGACAGAUUAGGCCAAGCAAGGAUACCUCAAGAGGUAUUUCAUCUUCAGAAGAUGAUGAUUUCCUGCCAGGUUGUAUCCUCGCAAAUGGCACCCUCUUGAAUCUAAAUCGGGUGCAGAAGAAGCAACUUAAAGAAAAAAUCCGAGCUAUGAAUUCCGAAAUCCCCAUUUAUGGGUGUGUCAUAAGGAAGAGCAGUAUUUACGGAACACUGCAUGCCCUUGAAAUAUCAAGAAAAUAUGCUGAAGUAUACCUUCCAUUUGAGGAACAAAUGCUGACCCUUCAGCAUCAUGGCAAGAAGUGGGAGGUGCGGUGUCGUGUUAAGAAAAGCAAAGCCAAAAGGCUUUUGAGAGGGUGGAAGCAUUUUGCACGUGACAACAACUUGCAGCUGGGAGAUGUCUGCCUCUUUGAGCUACUGAGGAACAAGAAGAAGUAUGUGAUGAAUGUCCAUAUCAUUCGCAAAUCCCUUUACAAGAGGUGA